rnacentral:rRNA from 1 species
AGUGAAUGCUGGCGGUAGGCCUAACACAUGCAAGUCGAACGGCAGCACAGUAAGAGCUUGCUCUUACGGGUGGCGAGUGGCGGACGGGUGAGGAAUACAUCGGAAUCUACUUUUUCGUGGGGGAUAACGUAGGGAAACUUACGCUAAUACCGCAUACGACCUACGGGUGAAGGCAGGGGAUCUUCGGACCUUGCGCGAUUGAAUGAGCCGAUGUCGGAUUAGCUAGUUGGCGGGGUAAAGGCCCACCAAGGCGACGAUCCGUAGCUGGUCUGAGAGGAUGAUCAGCCACACUGGAACUGAGACACGGUCCAGACUCCUACGGGAGGCAGCAGUGGGGAAUAUUGGACAAUGGGCGCAAGCCUGAUCCAGCCAUACCGCGUGGGUGAAGAAGGCCUUCGGGUUGUAAAGCCCUUUUGUUGGGAAAGAAAAGCAGCAGGUUAAUACCCCGCUGUUCUGACGGUACCCAAAGAAUAAGCACCGGCUAACUUCGUG